AAGAAAAAAGCUUCACAGUUGGGCUCAUCCACUCUGCCCUGCUGCUCUUCAGUCAUCUCUAAGCCGGCUCCAGGUGAGAUGCGCCAUGCUAGCAGAUGACGCCCUUCUCUCCAUCUGGGGAGCAGGAGGAGAAUGGUAGCAGUACAGAUCAGCUGAACCGAAAUGAGAAGAGAAAUACUGUCAUGCAGAGGCCAUGGAGAGCAUUUGGAAGCAACACAGGGAAGUCACCCAAUGCAGCUGAGGUCCUGAUGGUAUACAGAUUGACCAUGCUUGAUUUAAUUCAUGCCAACAGAAGCAUCCUCAAUCUUUCAUAAGAAAAGUUACUUUUUUUGACUGCACGUCUUAGCAAAUUCUGUAAUACAAAAAUAGCUUUGCUGUACUCUGCCUUUCACAAAGGGCAUAAUUAGAAAGCAAUACAAGUGGAGAAUCAAAUUAUCUCCCUUUCUCUAAAGAUCAUUGAUUGAUAUAAAAACAAGCGAAGUCUUGCCACUGCAGAUCAGACUCCUAGAUAAGAUCAUGUCAGAGGAAGAAAAGAACCAGCCAGGUCCAUCUGCCAGCCAGUGAAGGAGGAGACUUGGAAGGGAAAUUGCUUUUCCCAGACCUAUGAGAAAGAAGGAUAGGACUGGAGAGUUGAAGGGAAGGAUGACCUGAUCUCUUCCAUUUGCUGAAGGGCCAGUGGUCGGGCAUUAAACCUGUUGCUUCCACAAAGAAAACUGCAGAAAGAAGGACAACCUGGUCCCUUCCAUUGACCAGAGAAGAAAGGACUGGAAGAAAAUUGACUAUCUUCUACUUGCUAAGAAGAAGUCUUGAUUUCAAAUGCCAGUUCUCUGGGACUGCAGAACUUGAAGGAAGCAAUCUCUUCCUACUUCAUCUUUUCCCCAGCCACAGGACCAGGUACUUCCGGGUUAUACAAGUGUUAUAUUGAUGCACCUUAUUGUUUACAAACUGUCUUGAGGAUAAUUUGAUUGAAUGCUGUGGCAGAAAUGUUCCAAUAAGACAAUUUUGUGCAUUGGCUGUCUCUGUUAAGUCAUAGCAAAGGUGUUGCAUGGGCAGUCUAGAGAAGUAGUUCUGCCCAUGAGAGGCACUGUAGCAUUAGGUAGCCAGAGUGUUGCCAAAAAACUGGUCCCUAAUGAGGAGGGAGCAAAGAGGAUGGAGACCUCCAGUUUGCAGAAGGGUUUAGGAGACAAUAGUACUGGAAAGGUAGAUUCUUCAAUAAGCCACGUCGAAUACUAGCAACAUUGGCAUGCUACACUACUUAGGGCCCUUCCACACAGCCAUAAAACCCAAAAUAUCAAGGCAGAUAAUCCACAGUAUCGGCUUUGAACUGGGUUAUCUGAGUUCACACUGCCAUAUAAUCCAUUUCAAUGUUGAUCUUACACAGCUGUGUGGAAGGGGCCUUGGUUUUUGCUACAUUCAAUUAAACAGGUUCGGGUAAUAACACUGAAUGAAACAUGCCAUCACUAUCUGUUCCUGCUUCUAAAAAUGCAUAGAUGUUUAACUAGAGCUUUGGCAAUAAUUUUUGGGUUGUUCCAAAAUUUUGCAAUUGGCAUGGACAGCAGUCAUGCUGACUGAAGGAUUCUAGAUCUAGCAAUUCAAGAAAGGAAGAUCUCCAAAGCUCUGCCCGGUUCAUACUUUGUCUACAAGGAAGACAGAAAAGUGCCACCAAAAGGAGGUGCUCUCCCACAAUUGUUCUUCUGUUGUCCCUGAUGCCAUAGCACAGUAGCUAGCUAUUAUAGAAACACAGUCAUUGGACUCUCUAUGCACAGUUGCUCUCCAAAUAGAUGUUUGUCUUCCCUUGGUCAUAAAAAAUAGAGAGAACCUACAAAUAUCACCCUCAUGCUGGGAAUACCAUCAUUGUUUGAGUGCUGUAUGUUUCUUUUCUUGUAGGGGUGUUACAAGGUUUGGGUGUUUGUGUUCAAUGUCAAGAAAUGAGACAUCCCUCAUUCUAUGAUUUGUGUGAGGUGCUUUCCUAAUAAUCUUAUUACAUAUUGUUGUCACUGUUGUUAUUGUUCAAGUUUUUUCUGACUUACAGUAACCAUAAGGCAAACCUAUCUUGGAGUUUUCUGGGAUUGAGAAUGGUUCUUUAGUCCAGACCAUGUUGAAGCCAUAAAAACUUAUUCUUUAAAUGCUUGUGCGCAGAACCAGGUCUUCAGCUUUUUUCUAAAACUCAGAAGGGAUGGAGUCUGUCUGCUGUUACUGUGAAGGGACAGUAAGCUGAGGAGCCACCACUGAGAAGGCCCUGCCUCUUGUUCCCAGCAAUUGCACUUGUGAAGGAAGUGGGAUCGACGGCAGGACCUCCCCAGAGGAUCUUAAAG
rnacentral:lncRNA from 11 species